rnacentral:lncRNA from 1 species
UUUACAACUAACACAAAGAUUUGUUUCAGCAUCUCCUCUCUUAAUUUUCCGAUCGUCAUUUUGUAAGUCCCAUCUUCAGAUCAUCCGAAAAUCGCAUAAAACGGAACCCGCAAUCAAAUCUGGUUUUUAAAUCUAUAAUCCAAGAUCUGAAACCAAAUCUUGUAAAAAAGAUCUUUAUAGUUGACGAUGGAUCAACCCUAGAACCAUAAUGAUAGCCAUGAUCAAUGAUUGAUCAACAUCAGGCUCCACAGUUAAUGUGAAAACAUCAUUUCCAAGAUCAAUCCCUGAAGCUGUUUGCUUUGGUUUAAACUCAGCAACCAAGGCACCAUCUUGAUCAAGAUUAAUAAUCUUGAACCCUAAUUUUCCACCAGUUUUAACAAUCUUGUAACCACCUUCACCAACCCCUAAAUCUACAUGAAUCGUUUGGCGUUUUCUUGUAACACGAAACCAUCGUUGUUUCUUCGAAAAAUCCCACUUGUAUCCAUCCCAACAUCCAAAAACUGUGCAUCCAUGGCUAUUGUACACUAGAGACUUCAUCCAUAUUGUGAAGAACUCUUGUUUUGAGCUUACAUAUGGAGAUGAUGAUGGUGACUGUGAUGGUGAAGAUGGAGCUUGAGGAUAAACCUUAGCCAUUGUGGAGAGGAAAGCAAGCUCUGUUAGGAGAUGAUGAAGGGGGUUAGUUAUACAUAUAUAUAUAUACACCCAUGGCCAUGUGCUAUCAAGAACAACCAUUAUUUGUUUGGCGCAUAUUUAAUGUUAUCUCAUUAAUUUUAUUGAUAGUUAAAAUAUUUAUUUUAAUAUAGAAAUCUUUUUCAAACAAUACCACAUGUUUCUUGUAGUGUUUACAGUUUUGGUAUUUGUCCUACAUGGAUUGGGAUGGUUUUCACUACAACAAAACACCUUUUUUCAUACGGCAAUAAUUCGUUAGAAAUGCGUAGAAAAUGUUAAAAUGUUUCAGAAAUUAUAGUAAGAAAAUGACACACUUUUAGUAGUGUUUUAAGGUAGUGAUGAUAUAGGUAAGUUUAGACCAACUUUUGUGAAGGAAAUAGUUCUUUCUUGUCGAUGGAUCUAAUUUCAUUAUCGUAUAGAUAAAACAUAUAAAUGCAAGUACAAUAUAUAUGUUGUAUAACAAAUAAAAAAAAAUUACGGGUGUCACAUGACACUAUUGUUUACUAUAUGUGGGUUCACUCCUGUCUAAUAUUAUGAAUGGGUUUGCAUAAGGAUUCACAUGAAGAUAUAGUCAAUACACCAUUUGAAAUGAUUGAUAAACCUCAAACAAAGGAUUCAACAUGCAUGUAAUUUAAAACAAUCAAUACAUCGUAUAUAUAUGGACUUUCUUAUUUUUUUUAACAACCGUCAUUGUUUAUGAGUUCGUGUGUUAAAAAACAUUUAUGGGGAUAAACUAGAUAGUUCAGGAAUGACUAGUACGCUCAAAGGGAAAGGGAUUUGGGCUAAUGUUAAUAGAGUUGGGUCGGACUUGCAUGAUAAUGAUAUUAUCCUGUGUUUGUCGGUUAAAAAGUUCGUUGGAAACACAAAUAACACGGUUUUUUGGAAGAAGGUAUGGUUGGGUGAUGCCCCUUUAUGUCUGUGGUAUAGGCGUCUUUUCAAUUUUAGAAGUUCAUAAGGAUGUUUCGGUUUUUUGAUCGAUUAAGUGUUUCAGGUUCUUUUAUGGAAUUGGAGACAUGACCCGAGGGGUGGGGUAGAGGCUCAUCAAUUGGCGAGUUUAUUAAGGGUCUUGGAUGAUAUUCAGUUGUCUAAUUUAGAAGAUAAAUGGGUAUGGGUUUUAGAUUGUGGGGAUGAUUUUUCAGUUAAAGGGGUUAGAAGAUGUAUUAACUAUCUGACUCUUCCGCAAUGUAUUCAUGCUACGAGGUGGAACAGGUUGGUGCUUAGGAAAGUGAACAUACAUGUGUAGCGUAUGUUGUUGGAUCGUGUACCUACUAGAUUGAAUUUGAGCAAGAAAGUUAUCAAUAUUUUGUCUAUUAUGUGUCCACUCUGUUCUUUAUCAGCGGAGACUGUGGAGCAUGUGUUUGGAAGAUUGCAGAAUUGCUACUAGAGUUUGGAAUGGCAUUGGGAGAUGGCUUGAUAUUUCUCUUCCAAUUUGUACACAUCAUCAUUACAUAUGUUCAUGGUUGGACUUGACAUCUUUGCCUACAGUUAAGAAGAACAUGAUUGAAGUUAUUAUUUUACCACCUGAUGGGGUAUUUGGAGAAAUCGGAAUGAUAGAAUUCAUGGUCAUCAAAACGUGAAUAAAUUCUUGAUUCUUGAUUAAAUUAUCUCAAUGUCAUUUUUAUGGUAUUCUAGUCAUUUUAGUAAAUUCAAAGUUUGUUGGACCGAGUGGAUGAAGAAUCCUCUCUUU